rnacentral:misc_RNA from 1 species
UGCCAGAAAAUGAGAAUGAACUACUAUCCUCCAUGCCCACAACCUAAGCUGGUCAUGGGCCUCAAUUCCCACACUGAUGCAACAGGCCUCACAAUCCUCCUUCAAGUCAACGAGGUAGAAGGUUUGCAAAUAAAGAAAGAUGGGAGAUGGGUUCCUGUUAAGCCACUGCCAGAUGCCUUUAUCAUCAAUAUUGGUGACAUUUUGGAGAUUGUUACCAAUGGAAUUUACAAAAGCACUGAGCAUAGAGCAACAGUGAACUCGGUGAAAGAGAGGAUCUCCAUUGCCACUUUUUAUAGCCCGAAUUUGGGUGGAGAAAUGGGUCCAGCACCGAGCCUUGUAUCCCCAGAGAGGCCUGCCUCAUUUAGAAAAAUCGGUGUUGCUGAUUUCUUCAAGGGAUUCUUUUCACGAGAAUUGGUUGGAAAAUCAUACCUGGAUGUCGUCAGGAUCCAGAAUGAAGCAGCCAAAAACGACUGAUUGGUAACACCAUUUACCAGUUUAUGUUUUAAAAUUUCAGAAGAAACAACAAAUUAUGUAAUAAGUGGAGUUUCUCAUUCCACUCUGAUGUGGUGAGUCAAAAAAAGAAAAUAAAUUAAUAAAAAGGUUAUCUUAUGCAGCA